rnacentral:rRNA from 1 species
UACGGAGGGUGCAAGCGUUGUCCGGAUUUAUUGGGUUUAAAGGGUGCGUAGGUGGUUUAUUAAGUCAGUGGUGAAAGACGGUCGCUUAACGAUUGCAGUGCCAUUGAAACUGAUAGACUUGAGUUUCGUUGAGGUAGGUGGAAUUGAUAGUGUAGCGGUGAAAUGCAUAGAUAUUAUCAAGAACUCCAAUUGCGUAGGCAGCUUACUGGGCGAAAACUGACACUGAUGCACGAAAGUGUGGGUAUCAAACAGG